CGGAGGGUGCAAGCGUUGUCCGGAAUCAUUGGGUUUAAAGGGUCCGCAGGCGGUCUUAUAAGUCAGUGGUGAAAGCCUACAGCUUAACUGUAGAACUGCCAUUGAUACUGUAAGACUUGAAUUCGGUCGAAGUGGCGGAAUGUGACAUGUAGCGGUGAAAUGCUUAGAUAUGUCACAGAACACCGAUAGCGAAGGCAGCUCACUAGGCCUGGAUUGACGCUCAUGGACGAAAGCGUGGGGAGCAAACAGGAUUAGAUACCCUGGUAGUCCACGCCGUAAACUAUGAUUACUCGUUUUCGGCGAUAUACAGUCGGAGACUAAGCGAAAGUGAUAAGUAAUCCACCUGGGGAGUACGAUCGCAAGGUUG
rnacentral:rRNA from 1 species